rnacentral:rRNA from 1 species
CAGUAGCCGCGGUAAUACGUAGGUGGCAAGCGUUGUCCGGAAUUAUUGGGCGUAAAGGGCUCGCAGGCGGUUUCUUAAGUCUGAUGUGAAAGCCCCCGGCUCAACCGGGGAGGGUCAUUGGAAACUGGGAAACUUGAGUGCAGAAGAGGAGAGUGGAAUUCCACGUGUAGCGGUGAAAUGCGUAGAGAUGUGGAGGAACACCAGUGGCGAAGGCGACUCUCUGGUCUGUAACUGACGCUGAGGAGCGAAAGCGUGGGGAGCGAACAGGAUUAGAUACCCCCGUAGUCCCUGUCUCUUAUCA